AGUGAACGCUGGCGGUAGGCCUAACACAUGCAAGUCGAACGGCAGCACAGUAAGAGCUUGCUCUUACGGGUGGCGAGUGGCGGACGGGGGAGGAAUACAUCGGAAUCUACUUUUUCGUGGGGGAUAACGUAGGGAAACUUACGCUAAUACCGCAUACGACCUACGGGUGAAAGCAGGGGAUCUUCGGACCUUGCGCGAUUGAAUGAGCCGAUGUCGGAUUAGCUAGUUGGCGGGGUAAAGGCCCACCAAGGCGACGAUCCGUAGCUGGUCUGAGAGGAUGAUCAGCCACACUGGAACUGAGACACGGUCCAGACUCCUACGGGAGGCAGCAGUGGGGAAUAUUGGACAAUGGGCGCAAGCCUGAUCCAGCCAUACCGCGUGGGUGAAGAAGGCCUUCGGGUUGUAAAGCCCUUUUGUUGGGAAAGAAAAGCAGCAGGUUAAUACCCCGCUGCUCUGACGGUACCCAAAGAAUAAGCACCGGCUAACUUCGUG
rnacentral:rRNA from 1 species